rnacentral:rRNA from 1 species
UACGAAGGGGGCGAGCGUUGUUCGGAAUUACUGGGCGUAAAGGGCGCGCAGGCGGCCUUAGAAGUCAGAUGUGAAAGCCCCGGGCUCAACCUGGGAAUGGCAUUUGAUACUCUGAGGCUGGAGUACGGGAGAGGAGAGUGGAAUUCCCAGUGUAGAGGUGAAAUUCGUAGAUAUUGGGAAGAACAUCGGUGGCGAAGGCGGCUCUCUGGACCGUAACUGACGCUGAGGCGCGAAAGCGUGGGGAGCAAACAGG